CCCUUAGAUGGUCUGGGCGGCACGCGCGCUACAAUGAUGCAUUCAAAAAGUCUUCUGACCUUAGAAGGUUGGGUAUUCUCCAAAGUGCAUCGUGAUGGGAAUAGUUUAUUGCAAUUUUUAAUCUUGAACGAGGAAUUCCUAGUAAGUACAGGUCAUCAACUUGUGUUGAUUACGUCCCUGCCCUUUGUACACACCGCCCGUCGCUACUACCGAUUGAAUGGUUUAGUGAGGCCUUCGGAUCCGCGACUCGUUUGUGGAGAAGUUGGACAAACUCAGUCAUUUAGAGGAAGUAAAAGUCGUAACA
rnacentral:rRNA from 1 species